CCUACGGGAGGCAGCAGUGGGGGAUAUUGCACAAUGGGGGGAACCCUGAUGCAGCGACGCCGCGUGGGUGAAGGAGUGCUUCGGCAUGUAAAGCCCUAUCGGCAGGGAAGAAGCAAGACGGUACCUUACUAAGAAGCCCCGGCUAACUACGUGCCAGCAGCCGCGGUUAUACGGAGGGGGCGAGCGUUAUCCGGAUUCACUGGGGGGAAAGGGAGCGUAGGCGGCCAUGCAAGCCAGGGGGGAAAGCCCGGGGCCAAACCCCGGGACUGCCCGUGGAACUGCAUGGCUGGAGUUCGGGAGGGGCAGGGGGAAUGCCUGGUGUAGCGGUGAAAUGCGUAGAUAUCAGGAGGAACACCGGGGGCGAAGGCGGCCUGCUGGACCGCGACUGACGUUGAGGCUCGAAAGCGUGGGGAGCGAACAGGAUUAGAUACCCUUGUAGUC
rnacentral:rRNA from 1 species